GUGGGGAAUAUUGCACAAUGGGCGCAAGCCUGAUGCAGCCAUGCCGCGUGUAUGAAGAAGGCCUUCGGGUUGUAAAGUACUUUCAGCGGGGAGGAAGGUGUUGUGGUUAAUAACCGCAGCAAUUGACGUUACCCGCAGAAGAAGCACCGGCUAACUCCGUGCCAGCAGCCGCGGUAAUACGGAGGGUGCAAGCGUUAAUCGGAAUUACUGGGCGUAAAGCGCACGCAGGCGGUCUGUCAAGUCGGAUGUGAAAUCCCCGGGCUCAACCUGGGAACUGCAUUCGAAACUGGCAGGCUGGAGUCUUGUAGAGGGGGGUAGAAUUCCAGGUGUAGCGGUGAAAUGCGUAGAGAUCUGGAGGAAUACCGGUGGCGAAGGCGGCCCCCUGGACAAAGACUGACGCUCAGGUGCGAAAGCGUGGGGAGCAAACAGGAUUAGAUACCCGAGUAGUCC
rnacentral:rRNA from 1 species